rnacentral:rRNA from 1 species
UGUUGGGUUAAGUCCCGCAACGAGCGCAACCCUCGUUCUAUGUUGCCAGCACGUAAUGGUGGGAACUCAUAGGAGACUGCCGGGGUCAACUCGGAGGAAGGUGGGGAUGACGUCAAAUCAUCAUGCCCCUUAUGUCUUGGGCUUCACGCAUGCUACAAUGGCCGGUACAAAGGGCUGCAAUACCGCAAGGUGGAGCGAAUCCCAAAAAGCCGGUCUCAGUUCGGAUUGAGGUCUGCAACUCGACCUCAUGAAGUCGGAGUCGCUAGUAAUCGCAGAUCAGCAACGCUGCGGUGAAUACGUUCCCGGGCCUUGUACACACCGCCCGUCAAGUCAUGAAAGUCGGUAACACCCGAAGCCAGUGGCCCAACCGCAAGGA